AGUGAACGCUGGCGGCAUGCCUAACACAUGCAAGUCGAACGGCAACGCGGGUGAGGUUGCCCUCGGGGGGGCGAGGGGCGGGUGGGAGAGCGAUACAUCGGCGUCUGCCCAGUCGAAGGGGGCGACAGCGGGACACUUACGCUAUUCCCGCAUAGGACCUUCGGAGGAGAGAGGAAGGUCGCAAGAGCUCUCGCGGGCGGAUGGGCCGAUGUCUGAUUAGCUAGUUGGCGGGAUACUGGCCCACCAAGCCGACGAUCUGUAGCUGGACUGAGAGGAUGAUCAGCCACACUGGAACUGAGACACGGUCCAGACUCCUACGGGAGGCAGCAGUGGGGAAUAUUGGACAAUGGGCGCAAGCCUGAUCCAGCCAUGCCGCGUGGGUGAUGAAGGCCUUCGGGUUGUAAAGUGCUUUUGUUCGGAAAGAAAAGCUUCAGGCUAAUACCGUGGGAGCAUGACGGUACCCAAAGAAUAAGCACCGGCUAACUACGUG
rnacentral:rRNA from 1 species